AUGGAACACGUUAUCCAGUCCAGACUUCUUCGCUACCUCGAAGACAACCACCUCCUACCAGACACGAUGUUCGGUUUCCAUCCUCACUUAGCAGCCCCCGACAUAAUGCUUCUUCUCCAUCACCAGGUAGUCAUGCGUCGCACACUAGACACGAAAGUCAUCGUCGGCCUCGAUGUUGCCAAGGCCUUCGACAAUAUCCUCCAUGAAGCGAUUCUUCAACAACUCCAGACUCUCGGCGUCGGACAUCGCACGUAUGCAUACGUCCGAGACUUCCUGACCGACCGCAAGAUACAACUCAGCGUCGGCACGUGACAUCCCUCCAUCAUCUCUCCUGGCAACCGCGGCACGCCGCAAGGCUCAGUGCUCUCGCCGCUGCUUUUCAACGUUGCACUGAUAGGCCUGCCCAAGCUUCUGGCUGACAUUCCCCACCUACACGACAGCGUUUAUGCUGACGAUCUUACUCUUUGGAUCACACACGGCAGUGACGGCGACAUCGAAGAGACUCUCCAGACCGCCAUCGAUCGGGUCGGAGGCUAUCUGGAUACAGUUGGCCUCAGCUGCUCGGCGACUAAGUCAGAGUAUAUAAUCAUCCCGUCCCCAGGACGACGCCCACCAAAAAUACUUCCUGAGAUCAACCUCCAGGUGCAAGGAAACCCCAUCCCUCGUACAGAUCACAUCAGGAUUCUGGGCCUACACCUACAGGCAAACGGCAGCAACAAUAUAUCGCUCCAACGCAUCGACCAGUCGGUGCUACAGAUCGGACGUCUUCUCAAGCGAGUCUCCAACAAGCACCGAGGUAUGCGAGAGUGCAACCUCCUGCGCCUCGUCCAAGCCUUCAUCUGCUCCCGCAUCACCUACUCCGCACCUUACUUAGGUCUCAUCCGCGCCGAAAGCGAACGGCUAGAGGCGUCACUUCGAAAAGCAUACAAGACGGCCCUGGGUCUUCCCAUGUCAACAGCUACUCACAAGCUUAUGGCUCUUGGCAUCUCCAACACCGUGAGCGAACUGAUCGAAGCUACCCUCACCGCCCAAUACGAGCGGUUGUCACUCACACACGCUGGCCGCGCGGUACUGCAGCAAGUUGGGAUCUCACCAACGAGGGCGGCCCCCAAUUAUAUUGACCUUACACAGGAAUAUCGUCAAAAUCUCCGAAUACCUCCCAUUCCCAAACGGAUGCAUCCGGAACACCACGCCGAGAGACGGGCCGAUCGUGCACGACAGUUCGAGAAACGCUUCAGUGGACGUCCAGAUGUCACGUAUACGGACGCCUCUUACCACCCCUCGAAACCAGCGAUGGUGGCGGCAGCCCUCGCCCCGCACCGCAGCUGGUACACAGCCUGCAGCAUUCGCAACGCAGAAACAGUCACCGCAGUAGAGGAGGUUGCCAUUGCGCUUGCGCUAGCUGAUCCUAUUACCAAAGUCGUCAUAAGUGAUUCUCAACAGGCGAUCCGCAACUACGAUGCCGGCCGUAUCUCUCGCCCGGCAUCACACAUUCUGCAUUCUACUUCCCCCUCCUCCACAUCCCGCUUACUCCUGUGGGCUCCAGCCCAUGAAUCGCUCAGGGGAAACGUCCAGGUGCAUACACUUGCUCGAGAUCUUAGCUGCCGAGCCGAGUGUAGGAUCCACCGCCCCGAUUCCCCUGACACCACUAUCUCGCGGGAUUCUCUACUCACCACUUACACGGACAUCCUCCAGUACUACCGACUCGGGAGAUGCAUAUAUCCUCCCGCACACCGUGAUCUAACAAGGCGCGAGGCCGUCCAAUGGCGCAAACUACAAACAGGUAGCUUCCCACACCCCCUCUUAUACAGUAAAAUCUUUCCGCAACAAAUAACGCCUCGGUGCAAACACUGCUCAGCUCCGGCCACUCUCAUACACAUGGCGUGGACUUGUACGCACGACAACACAGACAAAACAAACAAGCCAGAGUCGUGGGAGUCCCUCCUGCGUAGCUCCGAGCCAGCAGACCAACGUCGGCUCAUCCAGCGUGCGGUGGAGGCCGCGGAAUCCCAAGGGAUCCCCGCCGACCUCCUCUAAGCCAGCGCAACCGGUCCUUGGACUGGUCCCCUCUUUUUGGGCGAAAUAAAGAAUUCACCACC